rnacentral:rRNA from 1 species
GAUGAACGCUGGCGGCGUGCCUAAUACAUGCAAGUCGAGCGAACGGACGAGAAGCUUGCUUCUCUGAUGUUAGCGGCGGACGGGUGAGUAACACGUGGAUAACCUACCUAUAAGACUGGGAUAACUUCGGGAAACCGGAGCUAAUACCGGAUAAUAUUUUGAACCGCAUGGUUCAAAAGUGAAAGACGGUCUUGCUGUCACUUAUAGAUGGAUCCGCGCUGCAUUAGCUAGUUGGUAAGGUAACGGCUUACCAAGGCAACGCUGCAUAGCCGACCUGAGAGGGUGAUCGGCCACACUGGAACUGAGACACGGUCCCGACUCCUACGGGAGGCAGCAGUAGGGAAUCUUCCGCAAUGGGCGAAAGCCUGACGGAGCAACGCCGCGUGAGUGAUGAAGGUCUUCGGAUCGUAAAACUCUGUUAUUAGGGAAGAACAUAUGUGUAAGUAACUGUGCACAUCUUGACGGUACCUAAUCAGAAAGCCACGGCUAACUACGUG